UACGUAGGGUGCAAGCGUUAAUCGGAAUUACUGGGCGUAAAGCGUGCGCAGGCGGUUGUGCAAGACCGAUGUGAAAUCCCCGGGCUUAACCUGGGAAUGGCAUUGGUGACUGCACGGCUAGAGUGUGUCAGAGGGGGGUAGAAUUCCACGUGUAGCAGUGAAAUGCGUAGAGAUGUGGAGGAAUGACCGAUGGCGAAGGCAGCCCCCUGGGAUAACACUGACGC
rnacentral:rRNA from 1 species